UUCAAUCAUUAAUCAUGGCAUCACAAGGAAAACGUCUCUGUAUUGUCACGUGGAACACUCAGGGUAUAAGAAGCCCAUCCCAAAAGUUUUCAAAUGUGUUGAGCUGUCUCAAUGAUCUUCAGGCUGAUGUUGUCUUUAUACAAGAGACACGUGUUGGGACAAAAAAUUACCAAAUGUUGACAGAUGUUAGAGAUUGGAAAAUCUAUUUCACUGUAAACAACUCCUCCAGCAAAGGAGUCGCAAUACUGAUAAACAACAAUGUACCUUUUAAUUACAUAUGCCAUGAUGAGGAUUGUAGUGGAGGUUACAUUGUGCUGUUCUGUCACCUGUAUGGUGAACUCUACACACUUGUCAGUGUGUACAAACAUAAGGCAGAUAGAACUGUCUUGGGUAGACUGAAAGAGUAUUUGAUGGAAGCAGCUGAGGGUGUGCUAGUGGUUGGAGGAGAUUUCAACACAGUUUUACAUCCCAGCUUUGAUCGGAGUCCUUCAGACUCGAACCAUUCAGCAUUUAGAUCUAUUUUAGAAGACUUUACUGUUUCUCUGAAUCUAAGAGACACCUGGUCAUACUUGCGCUUUGCUGAUGAGGGUUUUACACGCCAUCAGAAUGACAGUCACUCUAGACUAGACAUGUUUUUCAUGCGCAGUGACACAAUGAGACUAGUGUGUGGUAUCAGAGUGGAAGACAACAAAAUUUCUGAUCAUAAUCCAGUUGUUCUGGUUCUUGAAGUGCAAGAACAGACAGAAAGUAAAUUUCCAAAAGUGGCCUUACUUUUAAAAACAGCAACACAUACAGGUAUCAGAAAACCCAACAGGAUAUCAGGGAAGAUCAGUGGGGCAGAAAUACUGAGUGCCAUCAAGACUUUGUCUGACUUAAAAGAGCAAAGACCUAAUCGAAGACAAGUGGAGCACAUCAAAAGUCAUCCAUGUUCAGUGACAGAAAUUCUAAAGAUAAAGUACAACAACAUGUUAAAAACAAAAUGUGUCUCUGAAGCUUUUAAAGAAUAUCAUCUUUCACGAGGCAGACACAUCUUCAACGUGGAAUAUUUGAUAAUCUCUCAAGUUUUAGCAAAACGUCUUAGUGCAUACAUUUUCCCCUGUUCUAUACAAAAGCAAGAAACAAUUCUUGAUAAAUUUCUCACUGUGACUUGUGACAAAGGCACACAAAAAAUCAAGUCAUCUUUCUUAGAGACAAGCCUCAGACUUGAAAAUGAAUGGAAAGAGAAACUGAGACAUUCUGAGCCCCCAGCAAAGUUCCAUAUUCUAGAAUGUCUCCUUCCAGUAGACCAAGGCUCUUCUGGGAAACUUUUGCUGCCUGAAUGUCCGCUCACCAACACUAUCCUUAAUUUGGCUCUGAAUAAACUAGAUCACAUUCUCAAUGACGAGAUGGAAUGCAGAAGCACUGUUUGUUUUCAGAGGCAGGCUCUGCUGAUACAUGCACACCAGAGCAAAAAGAAGCAAGUUGUUUCGCUAGUAGAGAAAUUCCAGGAAGAUUCUGGAAUUAUAUUUCAUAAAAUAUUUCACAUAGAGGAUUAAGAUGAUUAAAAAGCACACAAAUGUGUGUAAAUAAAUUACAUUUGAUUACAGGUGGAGACUUACUGUUGUAGGAGUAAAACAAAUCAAGACAAAAGCAAAGUAAACUAUUUAAUUUUAUAUUGUCAUGUUGACUUUCAUUAAAUGAUUUUUAAAUGUCUGACUAAACCACAUCUCAAUAUGUUUACUGUAUUUUCUGGUAUCUUGUCCAUGUUUAAGUAAUUAUGCUGAUAAAGUACAACAACAUGUUAAAGACAAAAUAUGUCUCUGAAGCUUUUAAAGAAUAUCAUCUUUCACAAGACAGACACAUCUUUAAUGUAGAAUAUUUGAUAUUCUCUCAAGUUUUAGGCAAAUGUCUUAGUGCAUACAUUUUCCCCUUUUCCCCUGUUAAUGCAUUUCUUCAUUAUUGUAGUCACUAUAAGUUGUACAUAUGUUUACUGUAUUUUCUGGAAUUUUGUCCAUUUUUAAGUAAUUAUGCUGUAUAUCCAAUGGUCUUUAUUGUUAUCAAAUAGUAGUAAUUUGCCAUUUUAUAAAAUCUUGGAGGAAAAGAUCAAUCUGUUGGCCAUUUUAGGAAUGACCAUAUAUAAGAGCUCAUUAGUACGACAGUGGGUGAUCACUGUCCUUCACUGGAGCCACAAUUAAAAUAGAUUCAUUAAAAUAUAAAGCUUUUCAAAAGCGAUGCACUUAUUAAGUUGGGAUUAUUAAAAUAAUUGCCACAUACUCCCCUUCCCAAGUCACGCUGCAUCACAAUCACAAUCUCGGUGAUACAUGACAAAAAAAAACAUGUUUUUGUUUACGUUGCCUUGUCCAUUUUGUUUUCUAUAUGCUGAGCGUUAUUCCAGAUAAUAACUAUUUGAUACUACUAACAAAAAUACUAAAAUACCCAAAUUAGUGGACCUAUAUGGAUGAAAUAGUCUGGUGACAGAGCUAGUGACAGUGCUAGACUGGGAGUUGUAGGCGAGGUAGCUUGCAGCUUCAGAUAGAGCAGUUGUUAUUCAUGACACACUGCAGCUCCAUUUCCAACUCCUGAUUCAUACAUUCUGCUUGCCCAUUGGUCUGGGGAUGAAAUCUUGAGGAGAUGUUAACAGUGAGAGUAUAGAGAAGAGAGCAAAAGAUGGUUUACUACAAGGUCAGUGGUUUAAUAAUGGGCUAUGGAAAGUUUGGGGAGAGCCACAAAGUGUACAGCUGUUCUAUUGUCUAGCUUAUAAAAUGGCAAGUUAGAAACAAAAUCCAAAGCCAUGUAAAACAUUGGGAGGCUGGAGACAUGCAGACAGGCAGGUUGGUAGUGUGAGACUUACCACGUCUGAGCAUGCAGCAUUUCCUUGUGUGCUUUGAAUGUGCUGUAUGUAUCAGGGGUUCAAAUGAAAAAUGAGUGGUAAAAAUAUUUUUUGGUUGUUUCAGGGAAUUGGGCUUGGGGCACUCGAUGAAGGCUCAGAUUUUCACAGGAUUGGCUCUCACUUGCUUGUGCUCUAUGACUAAAACCUAAAAGGUAACUGAGGAGGCAUGGAACUCAUAUUUUUCAGAUUAGAUAUAUAUGGUGAUUUUCAAGCAGGCACUGAAGGACUUAAGAGUGAGAAGAGUCCGUCAUUAAGGCCAGGUACUCAAAGUGUUAAAUACCAUUUUCUAUUUCUGAGAGUUAUCAAAUGAUAUGCAUUUCACAGGUCCUUGAGAAAAUGGCGGCCCAGUGAAUUGGGCCAAAAGCAGAGCUGUGGAGAGACUGGGGAUACUUUUUUUUUUGUUACCAUGAUGUUUUUCAGGUUCAGGAACCAGUAAUCAAUACAAGGGCAAAGGGAAUGAUCCUUUUUAUUGAGGAAAAAGAAUCUGGCAAGUGGUUAGGGAGCCAUUAAUAUAUUGCUCUGUGGUCUCUCGGUCAGCGUACCGAGGUGUACAGAGGGCAGGAGGCUUGAACCCAAGAAGCAGGUCAAUGGCACCAUCAUAUGAGGUGAGGUGGUUCUGAGAGGGCCUGUUCAUUGCUGAAGACCAUUUUUCUCUCAGAUGCUUAAGUAUCCAGUACUUAACAAUGCCCAAAUCCUUUAUUUGUCUAUUAAUCUGUCAUAUUAAUGUUAGCUCUGCAGUGUUUUGUUUUAGUGUUUUAUUCUACAGUCAAUUCAGAGUUUCUCUUUCACAUAGGUUAGAUUUGACUAUAGAAAAGCCAGCUGAUGACAUUUCUAUAUUUAUGUCUUUGUAAAUGCACACAGCCUGUAUUAUGUAUUGAGUAUUCGUUUGAGAGAUUCAAGCAAGGAUAAGGAAACCACUUCUGGACAUUUGCAUCAGACUGUGUUUAUGUCUCAUAUGCUGUGAGCAGCAGCUGCUUUGACGUCAAGAGAAAGGAAAUUAAAUAUAAUCAAGCAAAGCUACAUUUUCAUUUUUGACUUCUACACUUAACAUCAUAUGUUCAGUUCAUAAAACAACAACAUAUAUGUACAUAUAGCACACAUGAGAUUUUUAGUAGCAUUUAUUCUACUUUCUUUAUUUAACAUGUUGAAUCUUGCAUGUUCUUGCUAGAUUUGCAGACAUAGAUAGAUAGAUAGAUAGAUAGAUAGAUAGAUAGAUAGAUAGAUAGAUAGAUAGAUAGAUAGAUAGAUAGAUAGAUAGAUAGUGUGGAAUAAAACUUCUACUGUACUCACUACUAAAAUCUGACUCCAGCUCCACACUGACCCGACAGCUCAGUCUAAGUGAGACUUAUGGUUAGUAAGGCCUCAAAACUAAAUAACCCAAUCAAGCAGACUAGAUGAAUGCAGAUAAGAGAUUUUAUUUUGUAAUCAGUACUGAUACAAGAAUUGAGAUGCUCACGCAUGAGCAUCCCAACAACCUCUCUCCGGGGAACUCCAACUACAGCCUUUAUAUACAUUUCCCUUAUCUUCCCAAUGUAACACGUCACUGGUUCUUUGCCUAGACAAUCCCACCCAUCUUUCUUUUAAGACCUUUUAGAUUCUUUUUUACACCAUUAUCUUUGAAUUUACGACUUUUCGAAUACCAUUAUAAUUAAACUUUCCUGAAUCAUUAUAUUAAAAAUUGGGCGUUUUCCGCCCCCACCAGUGGGAUUGUCUUCGGCCUCACUCUCGCCAAUACCCCAUUCUUCUUCAGGAGACAGCAUGGGUAAGUUCUCAGUCCUUCAGGGGCCAAUCACCCUUUCUUUUAUUAACCUCUACACCUCACGGAUUUUCUGAUUUAUCCGCUGUCUUCUACGUAUGUACUCUAGAUAUUUCGCCUGGUACCACCAUUGUCAUCCAGCACGCGCUGCGUUUACUUCAUGAUGAGAUCACUGCCGCUCAAGGUACCAGUGGAGCGAAGAUUGACCAUAACAAUCUAGGGUGCGUCUCUGCCAUUGAUUGGUCCAAGUUUGGAAAGCCUGGUACCGCAGAGAAAGCCUGCCAGACUGACAUCAUCGAUACAACUAUUUGUUCUUCAAAGCCCUUGCAGCCUGUGUGCAAGGCCCGUGACAGGCCAACAUGCCGUGUUAAACCUUAUAUUGUUCUUAAGCUCAAACGACCUAACGAAUAAACCUUACCUGAGAACUCACUCCUGCUGUCCCCCGAUUAUUUCACACUAAAUCAAACACACACCUCAUACAUAUAUUCUCAUUUACAAAAUUAUCUCCCACAAUAGAUAGAUAGAUAGAUAGAUAGAUAGAUAGAUAGAUAGAUAGAUAGAUAGAUAGAUAGAUAGAUAGAUAGAUAGAUAGAAACACUGUUUUCCCCUUUGGGCACACAAUUUCAAUAUUGUAUUGUGUUAAAAAACCACAUAUUCCCAAGCAGGCUUAAGUUUCAAUCUUCAAGGGUUAAACAUUACACUGCGGAAAUAGAGAAGUGCCCAUGCAAAUGAAAUUAUGGACAAAUGAAAUGAAAAAAAGGAAUUAUGUUAAAAAAGAAAAUAGAUUACUUACAGUUUAAGCAUAAUUAUAUUUCUAUACUUAUACUAAUAUAUACAUAUUUCUGAAACAUGAUGUGGAACGAUGUAAUGUGGAGUUACUUUUAAUUGUCUGUAAAUGGUCUGUAUCUGACAAAUCUGUAUUGUAUGUGUCAUUAUUUUAUGUCUCUACAUUUGAAUAAUGGUAUCACCAUUGUUUAGGUGUGACUUAUGUACCUGGCAGUUAUAAUAGCUAUUAUUACAACUGUGACGUGCAUUUAUAUUUCCUGUAAAUUGUAUGAUCUCAUUUCUUCUAUAAGCUGAGUGUACAAGGUAAGUUCCUAGCAGGGAAAUCUAUAUAACUUUAAACAUAUUUAGGAUGUUUAUCAAUCAAACAAUUAAAACACACACAUACAGAAACACUGAUGAGUUGUGGUUGUUUCUUCACUUCAUCAAUUUCUAAGGCAUUAGUUAUAAUUUUAUGAUCACCUGUGUCAUAUUUCACCAUAAAACAAGGAAGCUUUACUUGGUUUACAGGAUAAAACAAUGUGUCUACAGCUUUUACAAUGUAAAUUAAACUGUAAUAGUUGUGUUAAAAUGCUGUAUUUUUAGUGUUUUGUAGUUACUUAGACAUUCAAUUAAAACUGCUGAUUUUUUAUUUCUUUUUUUCUUUUUUCUACUACAGUCAGAGCUAGAGGGAGUCUGUCCUCUUAAACUGGUGUUAGAUUCCUGUCGAUUCCUCUCAUUUCUUUAGGUUUUGUGGCCCUACCUGAUUAAGAUCAAGUCAUCAACCAACAACAGAAGCAAAUGCUGGUGUUGCUGCAUUCUUUGAUCCAAAUUUAGCUCUUAAGUUGUCUGCCUAGUUUUUCAGGUAAGGCUCAUUGUACAAAGAGAUGCCAAUACAUUACACAGUGUACUGUACACUAUGGGUGUGUUCACACUGAAUACUUCAGUCCAGUUCAGGGUCAGUUCAGAUUUGUUUUCAUACUGAAUUUUAGAUUAAUUACAAACUGUGGAUCAAUUAGACAAUUCCACUUGUCACAUUUGUACAUUUGCAAAAGUUUGUAGUCCAGGAAAUAAGAAUCCUUUCAAAUUUCUAAUAGGGCAGGUGGUACCCCAGCAUGCAAUGGAAAAGGGUAAGCUAUGAGGUGAAGUGUCAAUAGUGAGUUUUGGGCUUACAGCCCAUGGCAACAUUUGGGCCCAAUCAUAUUUGUAUCAGAAAGUUUCAAAUAAAUCUACUGACCUCCUGGUUAAAUUUCUGGAUAUGACCAAUAGUUUCUGGAUACCUGAAACCUGGAAGUGAGGUCAAUUCCACUGUGGACCCUAGUCACUUAUUGUGUCCUCUGCUUUUGGAAGCAAAAAACAGGUGUAGAGAAAUUUGGCUAUAGUCAAGGCAGAGAUGAGUCUGGAAAGUGACUUGGAGAAUUACUCUAUGAUAAGAAGAAUGAUGGUAAUACCUUGGGAUUCAGAAGGUUAGGAAAUCUAUGGCUCUGUCGUACAAGGGCCAUUGGGUUGUGGGCAGUGGGAUUAACUUAGUUACAGACAUGGCUUGAGGGACCUUCAACUGGAUGAGUCAAUGUGCCACCAGUACCUAAGCAGAGUGUAAAUGCAUUGAUACGUAGGCAGCUGGGAACAAAGAGCUCAUGAGGAGGACAGGAGUGCAUGUUCCUGCCGAAUGACUGUCCAGUUGUCAAUGGAUGCACUGUGUGUGUGUUCAGUUGAGGAAUGGGCUCAGGACCCAGCAGAAUGGAGCAGGAAAGAAAACCUGCUUUAGCAUUAGAGCUGGGGUGAUAGGACAGAGUGAAAUGUAAGCAGUCAAAAAACAGAGACCAGCAGGGUUGUUGCGGCUUUGGGUACUGGGCCAUUCACAGGUGGCUGUUCAACCUCCUCCAGUGUCUCCCACUCCUUCAGAGCCAACUUGAUGGCUAGCAGUUCUCAAUUUCCAAUGUUGUAAUUGUGCUCACUGGGUAGACUGCCUCCAGGAAAAGAAGGCCACAGUAUUGAGCUUUGGCAUCUUCCUGAAACGCUGUGACAGAACCCAACUCCUGUUUCAGAGAUGUUCACCUCCACAUCGAAGGGCUUUGUUGGGUGCUGUUUUUAAACUCCACCAAAUAUACUAAAUAAUCAGGGAUAAUGACCUUACACAAUAAACAAUGUUCCAUUAAUCCUUGUGAGCAAAAGCGUUUUAUCUUAAAGCACAAGACAGCAGGUAUAUAUAGGGAAGGUAAUUAUUGAAACAUAAGGAACAGGUGAAGAGGUGGGGAAAGGGAGGCAGGAUCGGUUGGGGCAAGUACAUGUGCAAACACAACGUAAACAAAAGCACAAGGGAACAUAAAGAAACCCUGCCAGACUGCUCUCUGGUGUUCUGCCAGGGAACUGUCCAGCAGUCUGUGACAGUAAAUGUAACCCAAGAUGAUUAAUGAUUAACUAAUCUCUGUGUGUGUGUGUGUGUGUGUGUG